rnacentral:rRNA from 1 species
GACGGGGGGGGCAAGUGUUCUUCGGAAUCACUGGGCGUAAAGCGCACGUAGGCGGAUUGCUAAGUCAGGGGUGAAAUCCUGGAGCUCAACUCCAGAACUGCCUUUGAUACUGAGAAGCUUGAGUCCGGGAGAGGUGAGUGGAACUGCGAGUGUAGAGGUGAAAUUCGUAGAUAUUCGCAAGAACACCAGUGGCGAAGGCGGCUCACUGGCCCGGUACUGACGCUGAGGUGCGAAAGCGUGGGGAGCAAACAGG